UUUCACAGGAUGAAUAGUUUUUUUAUUAAGUAUGUUUUUCUGGCAUCUCUAAUGUUAGGGCUUUUCAGCUCGAUGAGUACAUCAAUUGACUAAAUUAUCUGAUA
rfam:Candida albicans SC5314 chromosome 2 sequence.